CAGUGGCGAACGGGUGAGUAACACGUGGGCAAUCUGCCCUGCACUCUGGGACAAGCCCUGGAAACGGGGUCUAAUACCGGAUAUGACCUUCCUCCGCAUGGGGGUUGGUGGAAAGCUCCGGCGGUGCAGGAUGAGCCCGCGGCCUAUCAGCUUGUUGGUGGGGUAAUGGCCUACCAAGGCGACGACGGGUAGCCGGCCUGAGAGGGCGACCGGCCACACUGGGACUGAGACACGGCCCAGACUCCUACGGGAGGCAGCAGUGGGGAAUAUUGCACAAUGGGCGAAAGCCUGAUGCAGCGACGCCGCGUGAGGGAUGACGGCCUUCGGGUUGUAAACCUCUUUCAGCAGGGAAGAAGCGCAAGUGACGGUACCUGCAGAAGAAGCACCGGCUAACUACGUGCCAGCAGCCGCGGUAAUACGUAGGGUGCGAGCGUUGUCCGGAAUUAUUGGGCGUAAAGAGCUCGUAGGCGGCCUGUCGCGUCGGAUGUGAAAGCCCGGGGCUUAACCCCGGGUCUGCAUUCGAUACGGGCAGGCUAGAGUGUGGUAGGGGAGAUCGGAAUUCCU
rnacentral:rRNA from 1 species